rnacentral:misc_RNA from 1 species
ACGUUUGCCACUUGUGAUCUCUCGAAACUCAUUAGAGAUCUGAGUAAGAUUACACAUGUGAGUGCUCAUGCGUUUGAAAAUAGCCUUCAUCCAGAAAAUUGUGUCCCUGUCAAGCCAUUUAAGAUUGAUGAGAAAGGCGAAGAAUUUGUGGAUGCAACACUUUCGGAUCUCAUUCCGUUUCUUGAACAUGAGUGUGUUGAUUUUUAUUGCAUACAUAAAUUAGAGCCCAUUUUGUUGUCGCUGUGGAAGUUAAAUGUCUGUGAUCCAUUUUUCAUUUCUCUUUUUUAAAUUGCAUCUGAGGGGCAAAAGAAUUCUCUUGAAUAGGUGUAUCUUA